CUGUGUGUCACCGCUGCCGGGAAGAAAGAAAAAUGCUCCGGCCGACGAGAGUGAGAAGAGAAAGGAGACGGAGAAAACGAAGAAAGGGUCAGAGAGGAGAAGAUAGUGAAAGCUUGAGUGUGUUUGGAGCGCAGCGAUGCCUCCAUCCACCAUGAGCCGGACUCUUCUUUGAUGGAAUAUCCCAAACGGCGGAGGGCAGAGGGAGGGAGAAGUAGAAGGAGAAGAAGAAGAAGUAGUAGAGGAGGAGGACUGAUAGAAGAAUAAAAGGAAUCAGAAGGCAGGACGGCCAGCGCUCGCCUCAGGAGGCUCCAUCCAGUCCAGUCUCAUUGUCCUCACACACACCUCGCUGCUGAGUGUGUGUGCACGCGCGCGUGCGCAUGUGUCUGUGUGAGGACGGGGCAGCAGCCGGUCAUUUCGACACCACAGUGCAGCGGAGCUCCAGGUUCCACUCUGAGGUUUACGUGGAUGCGGUGCGUCAGGUAGGCCAUGCCCUUCACCUGUGCCUGCUUCUGUGGCCUGAACGGCUUCUGCCGCAGACGGAAGAAGAAGAAAAAGGAGCAAGUGGAGGAAGAGGAGGAAGAAGAGGGUGAGGAGGUAGAACGAUGGAGGGAUCAGGAGACAGAGGUGUGACAGUCACUCUUGUCACCCUCAGCGGGGCUUUACCCUUUAACGGACUGGAGUGUACAACCUAGGUUAUUGCUGUCUGAUUAUAUGUAUAGAGAUACUAUAACAGGGAUGGUAAACAGGCUUCAGCUUGCACAGGCUUUUAUUCAAAAUUCAUAAUUAAUUGGACAUUUUUAAUUUACUCUGCUCUCUAACUCAGUUGUUGAAAUCUUUGAACCAGAUUCUGUAUGUUUUCCAGCAAUAUCUGUGACUAAGACGUCAGGUUCUACUUUUUAAAACUGCCAGAACUCAGCAACCACAAAACUAUCUUGAGCCAUAUUAAUCAAGAUGAAUCAGAUUUGAUGAAAAUAAAAGCCUUUGAGCGAACUCUUAGCUCAUCCCCAUUACCCAUCCCUGGAGCACUCAAAUUCUCCCUUGGCAGCUGACUGAGAACUUUGCUUGUGCUGAUGUGAUUCCAAAAAAAAAACAACAUUUCUUAUCUGUUUGAUUCAUUUCUUGCCAUAGCUGGUGUACUGUAUAAGGUGUGAGGAGGCGGUGGGCUCCAGAAAUCCAUUAUUUCUCUCAUGUCACACCUCUCUGCAACGCCCCAUCUCUCCCUUCUCCUCCUUAAUCGCAGCUCCACAGAGGCUGAAUUGGAACCAAAGCCCCUUGGAGCUCUGCUCCUCCUCACCUACCUGCUUAUGUCAGAUCAACUUAGCGAAAACUUCAGGCAAGUGAGAAAGUGUACAGCCAUUUCCAAAGUCACCCAUGGAGUGCUGGAGCCCAUCUCGGUUUUCACGCUGAGCUGGGCCCGAUCUAAAGCCAAUCAGCAGCUUAGCUGGAGUGUGAAGAUAGGAGUCAAGGGUCAGAAUGAGCAACAGGGUUUUGUGAGAAGUCCCUCCUAGAUGCCGGAGCUUCUCUGUCUCAUUAAUAAGCAGACAAGUAAUUACAAACACACACACACCAAUGCAGACCCAUCAAUUAAUGUCCCCUGGAGGGAGUGGAGUGUCUGUCCGUAAAUGCCACUGCGGUGCGCUCCCAUCUGUCACCUGUUUGAGUGUAUGACUCUGCAAGUGUGUGUGCGAGUGUGCCUGUGUUUCUUUUUGGCUGCAACAAUAGACUUUCAAACCUGAAACAAGUGGUUAAGAUAUCCAUUCAGCCGCUAUAGAACUGCCUUUUCACAAUGCACAUGGAGACACAAAGACAAAGACACACACACGCGUGUAGGUCUCAUUAGUGUGUGUGAUUAUGCAUGGCACGUCCAGUCAGGCAGUGGAGAUGUAAUUAACCUUUUCCAGCAGGAAACAGAUGCCUGGAUGUCACACACACAAACACACACAAUGAUAUACACGCACACACACACACACACACACACACGUCUGCUGUCAGGGAAACAAAGCCAACGUCACGGUGUCACGGAAACAAAGCCCCAAAAAGCGCCGCCUGGCACUCUGUGAUAAUCCCCUCACGCAUAUUUACAUUCGGGGCUUAGAAUACGGCUCGGUGCCGCCGUCUACACCCCACCACCCCUCCCCACCCUCCCGCCGCACUCCGCUCUGCUGCCCUACCAUCCUCUCUCCUCUCCAUCUACCUUUCGGCGUUCCACCUCAUUCACCCUUUUCCUCCCGAUAUCUCUCCUUCUCUCUUUUAUCUUUUAGAUCUCUCCCAAAAACUCUCCUAUGCAAUCCCCUUCUUUUGAGUUCAUCUGUUUAUCAUCAGCGGAUAGUACAUGGCCUUGCAUGGCAGCUCCCAUAGAUUAGCCCCCACUCUCUCUCUUUUUUUUUUUUUUUCCCCCUCCGACUCUGAAUAUCACGGAUUUCUUCAGGCGGGCAAAAAGCUGCUUUACGACAGAUUAAUGGACGGCCCUGAUUGUGUCUGUUGGUGUGUGUCCGUGCCUGCGUGGAAUAGAUUGUCUGUUUACUCAUUCUCUCGCUACAAGCGGCGAAAUGAGACAAAGCUAAAGCCAUUUCACAGUGUAGAGCACCUAUUAUGAUUCACUGUGUUACGACGCAGCCCUAAUGAGAAAGAGAGAGAAUGAGAGGAGGGGUUGGAGGAUACGAGAGGAAGAGAGAAAAGACGGUAAUGAGAGCGAGUGUUGGAUACGGAAGAGGGGGGCUAAUGCUAGACAGAGUAGUCAUGCUAAUUGGCUACAGUGGAUAACUUUCUGAGGCGGGGGAUGUGUGUGUGUGUGUGUGUGUGGUGGGGGGGCAGAGAAAAGAACAGCCUGAUCUGUCGGCGUUACACUCGUUUAACGCUCCCUCCAUUUCACCUCUUUAAUGAGAGGAAUAUUCGCUCCAGUAAUGGCGAAAGACUUGAAAUUGGUGACGAUUUGUUGCACACAUACACACACACAUGCACU